AACGAACGCUGGCGGCAUGCCUAACACAUGCAAGUCGAACGAGACCUUCGGGUCUAGUGGCGCACGGGUGCGUAACGCGUGGGAACCUGCCCUUAGGUUCGGAAUAACUCCCCGAAAGGGGUGCUAAUACCGGAUAAUGUCUUCGGACCAAAGAUUUAUUGCCUUUGGAUGGGCCCGCGUUGGAUUAGCUAGUUGGUAGGGUAAAAGCCUACCAAGGCGACGAUCCAUAGCUGGUCUGAGAGGAUGAUCAGCCACACUGGGACUGAGACACGGCCCAGACUCCUACGGGAGGCAGCAGUGGGGAAUAUUGGACAAUGGGCGAAAGCCUGAUCCAGCAAUGCCGCGUGAGUGAUGAAGGCCGUAGGGUUGUAAAGCUCUUUUACCCGGGAUGAUAAUGACAGUACCGGGAGAAUAAGCUCCGGCUAACUCCGUG
rnacentral:rRNA from 1 species